GACGAACGCUGGCGGCGUGCUUAACACAUGCAAGUCGAACGGAAAGGCCCUGCUUUUGUGGGGUGCUCGAGUGGCGAACGGGUGAGUAACACGUGAGUAACCUGCCCUUGACUUUGGGAUAACUUCAGGAAACUGGGGCUAAUACCGGAUAGGAGCUCCUGCUGCAUGGUGGGGGUUGGAACGUUUCGGCGGUUGGGGAUGGACUCGCGGCUUAUCAGCUUGUUGGUGGGGUAGUGGCUUACCAAGGCUUUGACGGGUAGCCGGCCUGAGAGGGGGGCCGGCGACAAGGGGCCUGCGAUACGGCGCAGACUCGAACGGGAGGCAGCAGUGGGGAGUAUUACACAAUAGGCGGAAGUCUGAGGCGGCAACGCCGCGUGCGGGAUGACGGCUUUCGGGUAGUAAACCGCUUUCGCCUGUGACGAAGCGUGAGUGACGGUAAUGGGUAAAGAAGCACCGGCUAACUACGUG
rnacentral:rRNA from 1 species